AUUGGAAAAUUCUUUACUAUAGUAAUAUCAGUUGCUCCUCUUGGCCCGUGGUUUUUUCCCUUAUUCAGAAGGGUUUCCACGUAAAUUUUUUGGUGUCGUUAUUUUCUCAUUUUAUUUCCAUUACUUUUACCGUAGAUACUUUUGUGCUUGUCCACGUUUUCCUAACAAAUAGAGGAAUUAAACGGUCGGUGCUCCACGUAGGAAAAAUAAAUCAAUGAGACCACAAUGUCAACAAGUCUCAAGACCCAAAGAAAAUAGAGAAUUUGUUGUCACGGUUAUCCUGGGGAAUCACUGCUUGUUCGAAAAAACACGCUAGCGUAUAACGUCAUAACGUAGCUUCAAGAUGAAAAUAUGCAGUUUCAACUUCUUCUAUAUAAUUGUUCUUCGAUUUUAGCUUCUUUGUUAUCUCGGCCGAAAUCACUUACAUGAGCCAACUCAGAAGAUAUACACAUGUUUUUGCUAUGCGAAUUCAUACCUAGAGGAAUUUUAGAAAAUCAUCUAUUCAAAAGUGAAUUGGUCUUUGGUACAUCUUGAACAGCGGAGUUCUUAUUUUCAACCAUUACCAUAAAUCUCCGAAUGAAGGUUACUCUCGAGGAAGCUAAACCACAACCCAAAAGUCAAAAUUAUAUAUCAAGCUACUUAGGUGCACUUGAAGGGAAAAUUCAGUAAAAAUAUGGCUUCAAAAUUGAAGCCGGGGGACUUCAAAACUAAAGUAAGAUAAAGUCUUCAUUAAUGGCUAUGUUCUGAUGGAUUUUAUGCUCAACUUAGUGGCUAUGUUAUAUGAAUUAGCCACACCAAUUCAUUUUAAUUACACAUUACCACUAUUUUGUAAUUUAUGGAGAAAUUAAAAUUCAUCACAAUAAAAUAAAUAUUCGCACGGACGACUCCCCACUAAUAUAGAAUAAGACUCUAUGAGCACAUGUGUUUGGUUAACAUGUGUUCCAAAUCAUAUCUUAGGUGGAGUCUUUUCAUAUUCCAAAUCAUAUCCCAUGUGUCACAAGCUAAAAGCCUUAGUAGCUAAAAGCCGAUUCAUGCACCAUAUAUUCCAUUCCAUUU